CCUCAGAGCUUCCUGUGUUAUGUUGUUUUCUGUCAUAUCACAGCCUGCUUUGAUGAGC
rnacentral:pre_miRNA from 1 species